rnacentral:lncRNA from 1 species
CUUUGACAUCCUCGAUGGGCGAGCCUGUGAGGAUGCACGAAAGAAGCUCCUCCUUGCCCAGGAGGAGCCUGGCAGGGAAGUCACAUUUGUCAGCGAGAUGCGCACAUCCAAGGCCUUCCGGCUGCAGCACGGGGGGAAUCGGGCCAUGGCAGUGUGCGGGCACUUCACGGCCCUGCACUGGUCAGCCUCCCCCUCUACCGCAGCCUUCCUGGCUCUCUGCACGCCGGUCACACGGUUGCCCACAGACAGCAAUGCUGGUUGCCAGGAUGACCUAUUCCAGAGCACGCAUGUCCUAGACAUGACGUUUAUUGAUGUCACGGAGAGGUGAGGGGUGCCUGCUCGCGCCACAGCCCCAGCUGUCCAUCUUGGGCAGCAAGGAUCAUUUCCCUUCACCAAGCCUCUGGGUGGGAUGUAGGCUGGACCCUGCACAAACACCAAGACUUUCCCAGACACUUCCCAAGCCUCUUCCCUCCCUUGUUUGAGUUUCUGUACCCCUGUUAUUUUGCUCUCUCCCUCACCAUGCUGCUCCUUGCUGACAUAGUUUAGACCCUGCAAAGCACUCAGCCCCCACUCCCCUUGUCUUCCCCAGCGUCACCUAUCACCUUGGCUACCGCAGGGAGGAACUGAUCGGUCAGUCGUGGUACGGCCUCCUGCACCCUGAGGACGCUGACCUAGCAGCUGCCCAGCACAGGGCCGUGGGUGAGUGUCAGGCCUGGGAACUUGCAUGUCUUUCUCUGGCUACACCUCAAACCCGGCUGGCCAGGACAACAGAAACAAAGUGAAUUUAGUCCUGCCCGCUGUGGCUCCCUGCUUCAAAAAGGACAAAGCACAGAGCACCCCGCGUGCUGUCUAUAAGGACACACAUUCCAAGCUCGAGAAUGCGGGCGCCCUGCUGUGCCACAGUGCAGAGAGGAGGGACAAGCCCGCCUGAGCCCCAGCAUUUUGAGGGGGCAGGACCGUUACAGCCCUGACUCCACCAUCUGUGGCUGCUGUCCCGCUGGGGCCGGAGCAGCAACCUGGCUACAGCACCCCUCGGGGCGGCCGAGGGGUCCGGAGGCAGCGUGCCGCUCUGCCCCGGCAAGCGGCCGCCGUGCCCCGCCGCCGGCUAACGCGGCCCCUUGCCCGCAGCGCUGGGGGCCGGGGCCGCAGCAGGGACGGCGGUGCUGCGAGUGCUGCGCAGAGACCGGGCCUGGGCCUGGCUCCGGGUGUCAGCGCGGCGGGACGGCGGGGGCCGCGCCAUCACCUGCACCAGCCACUGCCUCAGGUGAGGGUUCGAACGGGGAGGCGGGCCCAGCCGGGCCGGGCCGCGGCCCCGGGCCCCGGGCCGCCCCUCACCCCCGUCUCUGCCGCAGGGAGGAGGAGGCGG